rnacentral:rRNA from 1 species
UACGUAGGUGGCAAGCGUUUGUCCGGAAUUAUUGGGCGUAAAGCGCGCGCAGGCGGUUUCUUAAGUCUGAUGUGAAAGCCCCCGGCUCAACCGGGGAGGGUCAUUGGAAACUGGGGAACUUGAGUGCAGAAGAGAAGAGCGGAAUUCCACGUGUAGCGGUGAAAUGCGUAGAGAUGUGGAGGAACACCAGUGGCGAAGGCGGGUCUCUGGACAGUUCCUGACGCUGAGGCACGAAGGCCAGGGGAGCAAACGGG